CUCUGUGAUCUAAAAAUGUCUCCUGAGACACACAAUAAUCCUAGCUGAAUGCAGAACUCUGGAGACAUGAGAGUGAAGCCACAGGCCAGGAAGCCGACAGUAGUGCAGCUAACACUUAGAAUACCUGGAAGGGAGUGGCCUACUGUGGAUUCUGAGCCUCUGUUAGCCAUGACAGUUCCAGAAGCCUUCAGGAAAGUCUAGGACAGGUUAGGAUUACCAUCUCUUUUCAUGGCUGGGGGCACCCAAAGGUGUGUCUACUCCUAUGGGGAGGAAGGACUGCAAGUCCCAUUCUCAGCAGCCCAAGAAGGGAAUAAGUGCCAGGGCUUCUCUGAUUGGCACCUUCGGUCCACAGGUCAGCCCUCACUCAUACCCACAGUUCUGUGUCCAUGCUGAGGGUUUGUCGGGGGCUGAGCAGAGUGCCAAAACCAGAGCAGGCACAGACCAUCAGGAACGCCUGAGGCUGGAACUACACCUAGCAGGUAUGAGGGACAGAGACUUGAGGCCGAGAGAUGCCAUCUCUUCACCAACACUGCUACCUCUGAGGCCUGCCCCUGGCUCCUCAGUGUCAGAAAGGAGACCCCACCAUGUGGCCUCCUGACUCAAGGAGGCUACAAGCCCUAGAGUAGGGAUGUCAAGUACACAGCAUUUAGGCUAGCACUGUCUGGGAGGAAUGUAUUGCUAGCUACAUGUGGAAUUUUAUACUUCCUAGUUACAUUAAAGAAAAAACAUCAUGUUUAAUAAAAAGUUUUAUUCAAUCCAAUACUCUCAGAACACUCAACACUCAAUAAACACUCAUCAAUGAGUCACUAUGAA